GCUUCCUUGGCUUAGUUGGCAAAGCGUGUGCCUAGUAAGCACAAGAUCAUGAGUUCGAUUCUCAUAGGAAGCA